CACCGCGGUUAUACGAGAGACCCAAGCUGAAAAAAUCCGGCGUAAAGCGUGGUUAAUAAUAAACUAUUACUAAAGUCGAACUCCCUCAAGGCUGUUAUACGCUUCCGAAAGGAGGAAGAACAUCAACGAAAGUAACUUUAAAUUAUAUGAAUCCACGAAAGCUAAGAAA
rnacentral:rRNA from 1 species